GUUGGCUGGAUGGUCUCAGAGGUCUUUUCCAACCUAAAUGAUCCUGUGAUUCUUACUCUGUUCUUCCAGCCUGUACCGAGCAGCAGUUUAGGUGCCAGAACGGCUGGUGCAAGCCCAAGUUCUGGGUCUGUGACAACGUGAACGAUUGUGGUGACAACAGCGAUGAGCUCCAGUGCAGCUGUGCAGCUGACAGCUUCAAGUGCGACAAUGGGAAGUGUGUCCCCAGCACACAGAAAUGUGAUGGCAAGGACGACUGUGGGGAUGGGAGCGAUGAGGGCAGCUGCAGCAAAGCAGGCCAGACCACAGUCCCCUGUAAGGAGUACACGUACAAGUGCCGCAGUGGACACUGCAUCAGCAAACAGAACCCUGAGUGCGACGGGGAGCAGGACUGUGAGGAUCACUCUGACGAGGACAACUGCAGUGAGUGCCUGAGGAAUGGGGAAGAUAUGGGAUUCUGGGCCGGGCCUCU